rnacentral:rRNA from 1 species
GACGGUAAGCGAACCCCAGAAAAGCCAUCUCAGUUCGGAUUGCAGCCUGCAACUCGGCUGCAUGAAGCUGGAAUCGCUAAUAAUCGCAGAUCAGAAUGCUGCGGUGAAUACGUUCCCGGGUCUUGUACACACCGCCCGUCACACCAUGGGAGUUGGAAAUGCCCGAAGUCAGUGACCGAGCCGAAAGGAAGGAGCUGCCGAAGGUGGAGCCGAUGACUGGGGUGAAGUCGUAACAAGGUAGC